ACUUUUCGAGAUUCACAAAGCACUAGCACAAAAAAUUGGCACACUCCUUCACACGGCGCCCACAUCAAAAACUCACUCCACAAAACCGAAUUCACGACGUGGCGGCGCCACCGUGGCACCACCUGUAAUCGGCGUCGGCUCUCCACACACCAACCACCAUCUCCCCCACGCCACCUUUUCCAACACCAUAAAUAUGCGUGAAAUGCUUUCUAAUCUCCACACAACUUUCUACUACUCCAACUGUUCCAUUAAAUUCCCAAUUCCAACUUCCGAAAAAUGGUCCUCAUCUCUACAUGCUGCAAGAAGUGGCCCGCCGCCGCCGACCACGGCCGGAGUUACAGUUAUAACCACGCGCCGCCGGCAGAAGGUAACGGCGACGAUGAUGAUGGGGAUUAUGAUUAUGCUCCGGCAGCAUAAUUUUGAUGUACCCUAUCUGCAAUUUUAGUGCUGAUAUAUAGCUAGCAAUAGCUCUGUGCCUUGUGUAUAAUUUCGAGAAUCUCCAUUUUUGCCUUUGCUUUUGAUCAUAUAUGAGAAAAUAUAUUGUUAUUUAUAUUCUUCCAAUUUGUUUUUAAUCACAUAAUAAUAAUAAUAAUAAUAAUAAUAAUAAUAAUAAUAAUAAUAAUAAUAAUAAUAAUAAUAAUAACAUGGACAAUGAUAUUAAUUUCAUCGGACACGGAUACCAAUCAUGCAAAUUGUCUCAUAUUGUAGAAAUAAUUAAGAGGUUCGGAUAUUCCAAAGUUAUAAUUCAUCUUAAUACAUAGGAUUAUUAGCAUGUAAAUAUACAAAUUUUUCUCACUUUCUGAAAUUUAACACGACUUUUAUUUUUUGCACACAAAUAUAUGAACUUAGCAUUUUUCUGAUUUUUGACACCGAUAAAGAAAAACUCUAUUUACGGUUGACGUGGAGGCCGAAAUACAUGACGUGGACUAUGGAAUAUGCACUUCAGUAGAAUAGUUGUAUUCAUUAUUUUGAUUAGAGAGUGAAUGACAUAGUAUUACCGCCUUUACGUUAACAAUAAAUUAGAGUUUUUUCUUGUCGGUGUCAAAAAUCAGAAGAAAAAAAAAUAGCUAAGUUCACGCAUUUAUGGACAAAAAAAUAAAAAUCAUGUUAAAUUUCAAAAAAUGAGAAAAGUUUGUAUAUUUACAGGCUAAUAAUCCUAAUAAAUAUUACUCAUUUUCACCAUAGAGUAUAUAAAAGGAUAAUUGCAUGUAAAUACACAAACUUUGGUCAAAAUUCAUUUUUUACGCGUAUUUAGAAAAGUUCAAAAAAAUACACCAACUUUAUAAGUCAUUCAAUUUUGACGUCGAUUUCAUUUUCCCCAAAUUUAAAAAUAACAUGACGUCUACGUGGCUUACCGGCACAUGCCUUUUAAUUCGUCGGACAACUAGUAAAAUGAUGUCGUAUUAUUUUACAUGAAACAAUGCCAUUUUAAAUAUAUUUUAAGAUCGAGAAACUAAAAGGGAAAACCACAAAGCGUACCCGUCUGCCAUUAUUCCAGCAUGAGCCGCACCCAACAUGAAAGACCACCUCGCACGCCUCUGCCCAUCGACCGUGUCCUAACUAAAACGAUGGGAAGAGAAGAAAAGUAGAAAAAAGAGGGGAAGGGAUGAGAGAAACUGGGAAGAGAAGAGAAUAGAAAAAAUAGGAAGAAAGAAAUCGUGAACAAACGAAUGAAG
rnacentral:lncRNA from 1 species